rnacentral:rRNA from 1 species
AUCCUGGCUCAGAUUGAACGCUGGCGGCAUGCCUUACACAUGCAAGUCGAACGGCAGCACGGGGCAACCGUGGUGGCGAGUGGCGAACGGGUGAGUAAUGCAUCGGAACGUGCCAUUGAGUGGGGAUAACGUAGCGAAAGUUGCGCUAAUACCGCAUAUUCUGUGAGCAGGAAAGCAGGGGACCGCAAGGCCUUGCGCUCUUUGAGCGGCCGAUGUCAGAUUAGCUAGUUGGUGAGGUAACGGCUUACCAAGGCGACGAUCUGUAGCGGGUCUGAGAGGAUGAUCCGCCACACUGGAACUGAGACACGGUCCAGACUCCUACGGGAGGCAGCAGUGGGGAAUUUUGGACAAUGGGCGCAAGCCUGAUCCAGCCAUGCCGCGUGAGUGAAGAAGGCCUUCGGGUUGUAAAGCUCUUUCGGCCGGGAAGAAAUCGCAUGGGUUAAUACCCUGUGUGGAUGACGGUACCGGAAUAAGAAGCACCGGCUAACUACGUG